UUUUUUUUUUUUUUUUUUGAGACAGGAUCUCUCACUGGUCUGUAACUUGCUAGAUGGGUAAGCUAGCUACCCCUGAGCCCCAGACAUCCACUUGUCUGUGUCUCCUCUACUAGGCUGACAAGUGUACAAUCACAAAGUCCAUUUGUUUUAACAUGGAUUCUGGGAGUUGAAUUCAGGUCCUUGGGCUUUCGAGGCAAGCCUUUACCUUCUGCACUCACUAUCUCUCCCAUCGUCGGAGAGCAUAGCUUUCAUGUGAUGACUACCAUUUUCUCCUCGAGAGCAGACUGUAGCUUUCCCUGGUGUUCCCAUCACCUCGUUUGCUGUUUGAGACAGACAUCUUGAAGACUUUUACUGUAGUGAUAUUGUUGAGAGCAAGGGGAAACCUAUUCUAACCCUGACCACCCGGACGGGAAGAGCAGCCCUCUGUAGUGGCUCCCAUUGCAGCGAUGAUGCCUGUGGUAGAGGCAGGUUUCCCUUGUGUUUCUAAUUUACUUCUGCUGACAGCUGGUGCGGUUUUAGGGCGUGAGGACAGACCGAGCUGAUCAUCCCAUUGAAGAAGCACCAUAGUAAUCCAGGCCGCAGCGGUGAGCUAACCCCUUGCUGCUUGUCAACUUUAUGUGGGGAGCAAGCUACCUCAGGGAGAGUAGCCAAAGCCUUUCUCCCAUCCACCCCUAAGGACUCCCUGCUCCAAACCUAACUGUGUUUCCUUCGGAACAGUAGGGAGAGCAGCCUGAGAGAAUGUGGGCUGCCGGGUCUCAUCCUAACAUCUGUUUCUGGCUUGUCAUUUCCAGAGUGAACAAGGAUCACAGAUUGACCUUUUCCAAAGUCUUCAGAACCAUAAUGAUUUCAGCUCUCAGAGUUUUUUAGAUUUGGGUAGAUUUUUGAUGAUUUAUCUUGGAGGUUGGACCCACCCCUAACAUUGUUUGUUUGUUUGUUUUGCAUAUACCUCACUUGCAACGCCUGGAGGUAAUUUUGUAGAAUACUUUUAAUAGUUUUGUGAAUGAAGCCUUCCGAGGGAUGGAACUUUUCAGUGGUGUCGCUCAGACAGUUUUAGAUGUCACAUUCCUAAUUUCUGAAUUAGGGUUGAUCAACUUGUAGUGUGCCUUGUAUAAACUCUGGGAUCGGAAGUAAAUCCAAACAGGGACAUGUCAGCCAAGACUCUUCUACUUCUAAUCCAUCGCCAUCCUGAUAACCUUGAGAGGCCCUGAACCAGGUGCUGGGGGUGGGAGAAGAGACCUUUACUCCAGGACGAACAGGGAGCCUGAUACGCCCUCAACAGAGAUGAUAGGAGGUCCUGGGUAACAUGAGCAUUGGAGGUGCCUAACCUAGCAGGCAGGUACGAUCCAGGCAGGUGUCUGUCUACCUUUAACAGUUGUUAGAUCUUCACGGCCAUCUUGUAAGACAGAUGGUGAUGCUCAUGGCACCAUAUUACGAGAACUAAGAGGCACACUAAAUUUUUUACUUUUGAUGGUGUUGGAAAUAGACAUUCUCCCACCUGUACUCUGUGCCCUACCCUUGACUGUGGCUCAGUUGCUCAGCAGACUUCAUAAAAUCUUCUGCACGUGUAGCCACAGAAGAAGACAAGAUCACCUGGCAUGGCUAAGCAUGCAGACCCUGGAAAAGCCCCGUUGUCUUCAGGUCAACAUAGAUGUGUGACCUUGGACACAUAGAAUCAUCCUUUCUGAGCUGAGGUUUGCCACCUGGAAAAUGGAGAUAAGAAUAGCUGUGACUUUGCAGAACUGUGGUGAGGAUCAGAUCAGCCAGUGUGUGUGUGGAUCCAUUCCUGUCUCUGCCCAGUAAUGCGGGGUGUGCAGAGUCAGAAUUUGCCGGCCUCCUUCCCUUUCUGUAGUAGCCUUUUAUGAUCCCUUAAUCCUACUCUUCCCUUGAAGACAGGUGGCUCAGUUUAUUAUAGGGCAGUGGGAAUGUCCUUGCUGCUCUCCACAGGGAAGGAAAAAGAAGUAAGUCCAGAGAGGUAGAGGCCAGGCUCCCUUCAUGGCGGGCAAGAGCCUCUGUGUACUUAGGGCUGGCAUUCCUUCCAUCCCCACGCUUGCCUUCCCUUCAUUCACACCCAUUCUCAUUGUCUCUGACAAGGAGCAUGCUGAUGACUUCCAAAGCAGUGAGUGUCCUGACUCUGUGAGGGUGGUCAUCCAUCGCACUUCCAGUCCAGUGGGCUUCCCUCCCUGUGGAUGAUCAUGGGCUCAGACUGAAGCUCACAGAAUCUGGAUGAGACCUUGCCUGACACUGGAGGACGAGCCUAGGACAGACAGAAAAAUAACCCAUUUUCCUAAACUGCAGGCAUGCAUGCUGUCAUCUCUGUUCCAUCUCUCGACCCCCUAUGAGUGCGUGGAAACUGUCUACUGUAAUCUAAGAGAAUUGAAGGGCAUUGCCAUCGUGUUGCUUGGGAUAAAGGUCGCUAUGCCAAAGCUGUAACUGGUUUAGAGUCUAUGAUUAUGUUCAAUGUAAGGAAGGGGUGGAGAGAGGGGAGAGGGGAGAGGGGAGAGGGGAGAGGGGCGAGCCUGCACAAGGGCAUGCACACCUGUGUAUAAGAGGGAGAAGGUAUAUUCGGGUAAUUUCUCCUGUAUCCCCUCUGUCAUGUUUCCCCAGCUCACUGUCAUGUCAGGCUCACUGUGGUUGGUGAGGGGGACAUGAGCUUGGCGUUUUACAACGUAGGAAUGCAAAGUCAAGGCAUGUAGUCGCUAAGGCUGGGAUCCUAUGCCAUUUGUAUUAAUAAUCACUGUCAUGCUUUGCCUUGUCCCAUAUCGCCAACCAAAACAAGAUGUAGCCCUAAGCUAGCCUGGAGCUCACUAUGUAGACCAGGCUGGCCUCAUACACAUUGAGAUCCUCUGCCUGCCUCUGCCUCCUGAGUGCUGGGAUUAAAGGCGUGGCCACCACACCUGGCACACUUGACUAGAGGCGUGGCACACCACACCCAUUUCUCAACUAGAUCUUUCUUCUUUGUACACUCCCACUCUGAAACCAGCUCUGGUUCAGGGAGCUCUGUGCCUGCCUGGCUAGUAUUGGCCUUGGGCUCCCCUCCAAAAUGGAGGGCUGUCUCAAGCUGCAUCUGACAAUCACAUAAACGUGACACAGUGGUGGCAUUUGCCCCACCCAUCAAGCACUGUCAGUAAAAAACCUUGAAUUUUAGGUAGUGGCUGUUAAUUACAGAAGAUGGAAAUUUGAGAAACACAGCUAUUUGCAUAUUAAUUUGCUCUGGAAGGUGUAGCUUCCAGGAGGAAUUAAAAGUUGAAACCUGGGGGUCAUAGUCAACUCAAAGCCUUUAUCUUUCACUUUUAUAAAAAAAAAUCAAAACUGCCAUUCCUCAGUUAAUGGGAUGACUAGCGUCUUGAACAAGAAAUGAAAACAACUACCAUUAAGUGAGGAAAAGAAGGAUGCAUUGAAAUAUAUAAAUAAGGCUACUACAAAACAAAUCAAAAACUCAGUAACCUAACAAACCCUUGUUUGUUAGCUAUUUUGUUUGUGCUAAGGGAUCUAACAAGUCACUAGUAUCCAAUAGUUUAUGGCCCAUAGAGGCAUAGCCCAACAACACUUCUAAUCAGACUCUGAGCCAGGAAGUACCAUUAUGAUGUUAUCAAUCAGAAGACAAAAUUUCCCACUAAGAUGUGGAAGUGUAUGUCAGCUGCUGUUGUAAUUGGCAUGUUAGAUACUGUUGCUGCAACAAAAUGUCUGACAAAACCCAGUUUAAGGAAGGAAAGGUUUAUUUAGACUCACAGCUAUGCAGGAUAGCACAUCACAGCAGGAAAGGCAGGGAGUUGGGAGAAAGAAAAAGCUGGUCUCGUUGUGUCUACCACCGGAAAGCAGAGAGCCGUAAUGCUGGCACUCGGCUGGCUUUAUCCUUGUUGUCCAGGCUGGGACCUUGACCUAGAAGUGGUGCCAUCCGCGCCUAGGGUGGGUGUCUCUACCUUAUCUUACACACUCUAGAAAGUUCUUCACAGAUGUGCCCAGAGAUCUGCCUCCAAAGUGUGUCUAGAUCCUGUCAGCUUGACCAUCAGUGUAAACCAUUGUCACUGGUAUGACCCCUCCCCUGGGUUUGCAAUCAGUGUAAACCACUACCACUGGUCUGACUCCUGCCCCUGGGUAUUCGGUGUCUUGGGGCCAUAUCCACUGUGCACACAGACCUGUAACUGUUCUUCCUGCCCACACCUCCCAACCAUGGCUCCCCACCAUCGACCUGAUGCUUUCUAUCUGUUCUUCUCUGUCAUUCUUUCGGAUUUUACAGAGUGUGUAUAUUCAUUGGGAGUCGCUUCUGUGCAGGUUUGGAGUGAGAGACUGCCACCAGCCUUUUUUGGCUUGUUUGGGGAAGUUUUACUUACAUGGUCAUGGAGAAGAAAAGCACCAUUUCCGUCUACUACUGAGAUCAAGAAUGGGUAAAUUGUUAAAUUUGGGCUUAGGUCUUAGAAGGUGUGUGUGCUACUUGGAAACUUCCAUUCCUGGUCAACAAUUCCAACCCUGAAGGGAAAAAGGC
rnacentral:lncRNA from 1 species